ACACUCCUACGGGGAGGCAGCAGUGGGGAAUAUUGGACAAUGGGCGCAAGCCUGAUCCAGCCAUGCCGCGUGAGUGAUGAAGGCCCUAGGGUUGUAAAGCUCUUUCACCGGUGAAGAUAAUGACGGUAACCGGAGAAGAAGCCCCGGCUAACUUCGUGCCAGCAGCCGCGGUAAUACGAAGGGGGCUAGCGUUGUUCGGAUUUACUGGGCGUAAAGCGCACGUAGGCGGACUAUUAAGUCAGGGGUGAAAUCCCGGGGCUCAACCCCGGAACUGCCUUUGAUACUGGUAGUCUUGAGUUCGAGAGAGGUGAGUGGAAUUCCGAGUGUAGAGGUGAAAUUCGUAGAUAUUCGGAGGAACACCAGUGGCGAAGGCGGCUCACUGGCUCGAUACUGACGCUGAGGUGCGAAAGCGUGGGGAGCAAACAGGAUUAGAAACCCGAGUAGUCCC
rnacentral:rRNA from 1 species